AUAUCUGAUUGUUUUCUUAUUGAUUAACUUGUCUAGAUAACAAUUAUCUAAAACCAAUUGAAUUUAGUUGCAUUUCAGAGCUCAAAGCGUUUUAUUUUUGACACCCUUUAAUUGGAUUGUACUCUUACCUCUCAAACUAAUUACACCACAAAUAUAUAAUAACAUUGAAAAUUAUCUAUAUGAUUGGUGUCUUUACAUGGUCCUGGUAUUUUUGUCUAUAAUAUUGGAGCUGAAUUACCUGAUGCAAGGAAAAAUGGACUUGGAGGAGUUAAAAACAACAACACUAGUAAACCUGUUCAAUUGUGCCUUGUUGGUAAUCAUCAAUGUACCGGAGAUUUGCCCCUGAAGGAGGAUUUAGAUAUAAAGAUUGCUCAGAAAUAAUGAAUUCGCAAUGAAAAACAAUCUACCCCUUCUUCAUCGUACCGAAGUAUAAGAUUUACAUCAAAUGGCUCUGUCCAAAGCCUUUGGAAGGCAAAAAAGUCCUUAGGGUAUGGAUUCUGUACUGAUAAUGAAGCGUUUUGUCAAAGCCAAGGGUCAAGGUCAAAGAAAGGAAAAAGCUAUUAAGGAAAAAAUUAAUCGCCAUGAGAAAAAAAAAGUCCAAAGGCUUACGAACGAUUAAAGAUGCUACUCAACAUUGUGAUGCCGAUUUUCAUAGUUAGUAUUUAUAUUAAGGAAGAAAGUUCUGAAUUGUUGACUAUUAUUUUCCAGAACAAUAAUCCUCUCUAAUUCAACAUCUAAUGGAUUUCAUGUUGUUAAGCUGAUUGCAUGAUGAAAACAAGAAUCUUGAAAUUAAUUCCAAUCAUUUUAUAACCUAAAUAUUAAUAACAUGAAACAUGACAAAGAUUGUCAACCUAAGCUCAAUCUUUACCUAUUAUCCUGAAAUUAUUCUGAUUAACAUGAUCAUGAAUAUUGAUGAAUAAUAAUAAAUAAUCAGGUUAAUUCCUUUAACCAUCAAAGGAAAACUUAUUCCCAAAACU